AGUGAACGCUGGCGGUAGGCCUAACACAUGCAAGUCGAACGGCAGCACAGUAAGAGCUUGCUCUUACGGGUGGCGAGUGGCGGACGGGUGAGGAAUACAUCGGAAUCUACUUUUUCGUGGGGGAUAACGUAGGGAAACUUACGCUAAUACCGCAUACGACCUACGGGUGAAAGCAGGGGAUCUUCGGACCUUGCGCGAUUGAAUGAGCCGAUGUCGGAUUAGCUAGUUGGCGGGGUAAAGGCCCACCAAGGCGACGAUCCGUAGCUGGUCUGAGAGGAUGAUCAGCCACACUGGAACUGAGACACGGUCCAGACUCCUACGGGAGGCAGCAGUGGGGAAUAUUGGACAGUGGGCGCAAGCCUGAUCCAGCCAUACCGCGUGGGUGAAGAAGGCCUUCGGGUUGUAAAGCCCUUUUGUUGGGAAAGAAAAGCAGCAGGUUAAUACCCCGCUGUUCUGACGGUACCCAAAGAAUAAGCACCGGCGAACUUCGU
rnacentral:rRNA from 1 species